CAGCAGCCGCCACGGGAAUACAGAGGGUGCGAGCGUUAAUCGGAUUUACUGGGCGUAAAGCGUGCGUAGGCGGCUUUUUAAGUCGGAUGUGAAAUCCCUGAGCUUAACUUAGGAAUUGCAUUCGAUACUGGGAAGCUAGAGUAUGGGAGAGGAUGGUAGAAUUCCAGGUGUAGCGGUGAAAUGCGUAGAGAUCUGGAGGAAUACCGAUGGCGAAGGCAGCCAUCUGGCCUAAUACUGACGCUGAGGUACGAAAGCAUGGGGAGCAAACAGGAUUAGAUACCCCAGUAGUCCUGUCUCUUAUACA
rnacentral:rRNA from 1 species